CGGGGAGUAGCGCAGUCUGGUAGCGCAUCUGGUUUGGGACCAGAGGGCCGCAGGUUCGAAUCCUGUCUCCCCGACCA
rnacentral:tRNA from 1 species